rnacentral:rRNA from 1 species
GAUCAUGGCUCAGGAUGAACGCUGGCGGCGUGCCUAACGCAUGCAAGUCGAGCGAUUCUCUUCGGAGAAGAGCGGCGGACGGGUGAGUAACGCGUGGGUAACCUGCCCUGUACACACGGAUAACAUACCGAAGGGUAUGCUAAUACGAGAUAAUAUACUUUUAUCGCAUGGUAGAAGUAUCAAAGCUUUUGCGGUACAGGAUGGACCCGCGUCUGAUUAGCUAGUUGGUAAGGUAACGGCUUACCAAGGCGACGAUCAGUAGCCGACCUGAGAGGGUGAUCGGCCACAUUGGAACUGAGACACGGUCCAAACUCCUACGGGAGGCAGCAGUGGGGAAUAUUGCACAAUGGGCGAAAGCCUGAUGCAGCAACGCCGCGUGAGCGAUGAAGGCCUUCGGGUCGUAAAGCUCUGUCCUCAAGGAAGAUAAUGACGGUACUUGAGGAGGAAGCCCCGGCUAACUACGUG